UACCUCCUGUACACGGGCGGGAUCGUGGCGGCCAUCCAGGCCACCAUGGCCACCGAUGGCGCCGUGGAGGCCAUCCCACGGCUCCUCUGGGGGAUAAGGAGGCCACCCCGAAUCCCUGGGACAAACCCUAGCUCCAUUCCCCUUGCUCCCUCGCUCACCAUCGUCGAUUUGGACGCGCCCGAGUGUGCAGCCGCCAUGGCCGUCGUCGUAGUCCUGGCCAGCGUUCUCCCUGUCGCCUGAGUAGACGUCCAAGAGCCUCACCGUUGUUGUCUCCCUCGUCGCGCCUUCUGGAUAGGACCGGGAGGGCCGCAUCACGUCGCCAUCGUCGGUCUUCUCCGCCACGGUGGUCGUCGUCCGUCGUCAGAUCCCGCUACUCCGGACGUCCCCAACCCCCCUCGAGCUCGCCUGCGUCCUCCCCGACCCCGAGACCGCUGCUAAGGUCCCGGUGAUCGACUACGUCACCGACGACCCGUCCUUCUCGACUGAGGAACCAGGCAUGCAAACCCCCCUUGAGCAUUUUGCGACCAUAUGACGGAUCCCAGGAGCCAGACGACAGCACUGAUGCCUACUACUACGUGAU